ensembl:misc_RNA
CAAGCUUGAAGUCGUUGGUCAGCCGGCAGAAUGUGUAACUCGGAGUGGGGAAAGGGAACGUUUUGAAUUCCUGAAUGAUUUUGUAGAAAGGCGGCUUAGGAUCAUUAUGUCAGCUUUGCUGAGGGUGGAUUAAGCGAAGUCCAGAUUCUAUGCCCUGCAUACGGCUCUUUCACAAUGUGA